UGCGUUCGUAGCUCAUCUGGAUAGAGCGGCGGACUUCGAAUCCGCAGGUGGCACGUUCGAGCCGUGUCGGACGCAA
rnacentral:tRNA from 1 species